UCGCCGGCAAAAUCCGGUGACGGGAUUAGCACCCCGGUUGAUAUAGGGCAUGUAAGUGCCAGCGUGAUGCUGGCUUUUU
rnacentral:sRNA from 1 species